UAGAGGCAAUCACAAUUCAAAGUCGUGAAUACAGUGAAAUACUACUUCAAAAUAGGACUCUUUUUGUUCCCUUCCCUCUGGCCAAACCGAAGAACUGAGGCAACUAAAGACUACUCUUCCCCUGUUUUGGUCCUGGAGAUCCCCCAGAGGAGUGUAAAACAGUCCCAAAGUUUCAUUGUCUCAAACUAUUCUUAGUGCUACUCCCAGUUCGCACAGUUCAUCGUUCAGCUCUUAUCUCUCAUCUCAACCCAGAACAAGACAAAUCUCAUCCGUUUCCUGCAAUCUUGCCGCGUUGUUCCACUCUGAUCUCUCAUCUCAACCUAGACUGUUAAAGUUUUGAUUGACAUUGGAAUAUCGGCCGAUAGCGAUCAACACAUCACCAUUCACCAAUACCGUCAAAAGUCAAUACAUUCCAUCCGUGUCACGUACGUAUUGAUCUGCAUCCUGCAUCCAGUAUAUGGUAUUGAAUUGAUAGUUUAGACCAUGAAUAAUACUGGUAUACCCUACAACAGGAGAGGGGGUAGCCCUACAGUGAUUGUGUAGUUGUGGAGUUCGGCUUCAGUCUUAGGCACCCUCGGUCAGGGCACCGUUUACGCAAUUGAAGGCCACGCGUCCUCUACUUCAUGUAAACGUUGAAUUAUGCGAGGAUGCUUUACGUCGUUAGUUAGUCAAGUAAAACCUAUUUUUUUCGAGUAUCCUCUUCUCCUCUCUUCAUCCAUUUGGCGGCGACUUAACAUCCACUACUGCCGGCGACAAAUAACCAUCACCGUUGGAUGGAUUAAUCUCAGUUAGCGACCAGGUUUCUUUUCCCUCUCUCUCCCCCAUCCACCCGACGGCCACUUAACUUACUAGACCGACGACGAUGAUAGAGGAGCAGGGUAAAUCUCGACUAAAGUGAAUCAGAUCCAAAAACGGGAGGGGGACCGACGACGAUAAAAGCCAAUCAAAGUGUUGUUACUGCUCUGCUGCUAGGGAUGACAAUUUUCCCUAUUCCUGACGGGGACCCGAUUUCCCCUAUCCUAUUAGGUCGG